AGGAGGGGCUGGAGCACGGCCACCCAGCUCCGCUGCGCAGGGACGCGCUCGCGCCGAGAAAGGGCACGCGAGCGGAGGGACGACGCCGGCGGGACGAGGGAGAGAGAGGAGUGGGUUCUCACCUGUGCACGAUGGCCGACCCCUGCAGGUGUUCCUAGGGUCUUCGUCGAGGGGCUUCACGACGCGCAUCAUGGGGAAGCUCUGGGGGACGACCGUCGAGCGGUUGUGCAGAGCAACACUCGUGCAUCGCAGGGUGUGCUCGCACGGGUUGCAGUGGCCGCGCGGCCAUGGCUAGUUGUGCGUGUAGGGAGAGAGAUGUUGGAGUAUGCUUGGAACUGUCAUCUCCAUAAGCAGGGGAAGGAUCGUAGUGGAGGUAGUCACGACGUCGUGGGGGAAUAGGGGGGAGAGGGAGAGAG
rnacentral:misc_RNA from 1 species